CUCUCUCUCUCACUCUCACGAACGCACACGCACACGCGCGCGCACACACACAGUAAAAUCGCGAGGAUCGUUUCCUUGAACGUUAGUGAAAUUUUGCCAAAUUUCCUCCGUCUUUUACCAGUCAAUAUUACAUAGAGAGUCUGAACUUUAUUUAUCUCUCCGACUCUUUGCUCUCCAUUACGUCUUAUACUUCGGAGGAAGCUUAGACAAUCCGUUAUUAAGGACUCGCUAGCCUUUUAAUGUUUCUUGGAAAUUUUCUCUUUUACACCCUGUAAUCUUAUUUCUUUGGGGAGUAACACGUAGAGAGAAGCAUUGAUCUAAAUCUUACAACUUGAUUAACAUUGUUUUAAUGUUUACAGGAACAAUACUAUUUGUCCGUGGUAAAUGCCUACCGGUUCAGCGGACGUAACGAUGAAGCUUGAUUCGAGUUUAUCGAAAAUUGCAAAGUGGGAUACUGUAAGCGCAACUAACACGCCAAACUCUAACAAGUGUAGAGACACAAGAACAGGGUAGAAUUGUAAGUCUCGUGUAGCCGACUCUGUGAGAUCUUCUAGACCUUUCGUCCAAUUUUCGUGGAAUGCCCAGCGACUCUUCUUUUUUCCUAAGUGAUACAUCUAAAGUAAUGAUUAGCGAAUAGCGCGCGCGAUCGGUGUCAUCUGGACUCGAAGAAGCGGAUAGCGUAGAUAACGUAGAUUAACUAAUAGACAGUGCGUGCGAGAUUUUUGUAGUGUUAUCUUCGUCGAGCGUACGCGUAAGUGACUAGUAGUUUUCGUAGUUACGCGAGGACACGCGUCGCUCGUUACGGCGAAUUUGAGAGAAAAGUGUAAUAGUUGCUUGGUGGAGACAUCCUCAUCGUGCUUUCAAAACAAGCUUUAACAGUUUAACCCUUGUCUAAUCUUUCCUCAUCUUUUGUUUAAAUUUUCUGUCAGCCUAUUUUUUACCUUUUUCUAAAUUUCUUUAUUUUCAUCUUUUUUUUGCUGCGAUAAGGUUUGCGAUAUGAAAGUAGCAGGGGAAAGAAACUUUUAAGGAUGUAUCUGAGAUACAAUCAUUGACAAAAAUCCCCCAAAUUCGAAAAACUGGCAUAUCUACGCUAAACGUGCAGUAAACCUAGUGAUAACUGAUAUAAAUGAUAACUAACAUAAUAUAUUUAUUUUUAAAAAGUUAUUUUUCACAUUUUUCAGCGCUUUAUUAGGUUUAUUUGCCAUUUUACAACUUUCUACAAUAAAACUUUUGGCAGUGAAAAUGCCCAGAAUGCAACCUUAGAACAUCAAAUUUCUUAUUUAUUUAACACCAUUAUUUAACAGUGUAAUACAGAAAAAGUAAUUGGAAUAUAGUUAAAAAGGUUGAUAGCAAUGCACUUUUGACAUUGCGAGCUAACUUCUGUUUAGUCCUGCAUCGCAAUGUCAAAAGCCACAAAAAUGUAUCGGUGGAAAGGAAAAAUAAUUAGCGAAAGUACGUAUCGAAAGAGACUUGCGCAACAAAGAUGUGGAUUUUUAAGAAGAAAAGUUCAAAUUGUGCAAGAAGAAAAACUGAGCCUACCAUGGAGGAAAAUGUGAGCGAGAAACCAGAGUUUAUGUUGUUUAUCAAAAUUAUUUAAUUUUUAUUCUUGUUCUCUAAAUGAAAACAAUACAGAUAAAACGAGACUUUACGACGUGACUACUGUAUCGGUCAGGUUAUUCGUUUGACACGUUCAGCUGAUUGCGACGUUGCCGCACUUCUACAGUCCAGUAAUUGACAUAUUACAGAAACCGCAAAAUUGUCAUGAAUAAUAAUUAAUUUCUCCUAAACCGUGUUAUGAAACCUAAUCGAAUUUUGCACAAGUUCCAAUAAUCCAUGGUCUAUAUGUAUAAAAAAAAUUAAAAUUUUGGUACUAUUUUUUCUAUACUUUAUUACUUAUUUCAUUCAAGAAAAUUGCGUUUCCCAUAAGAACACGUGUAAAAUCAGACAUAAUUGAAAUAAUAAUUACUCUCUAACGAUUUAGUAAAUCUACUUAAAAUUUUUUUCAGUAUAUUACAGAUAACAAAGGAAGUGUUUCCCGAAGUUUCAUCAAUUUGGUACUAUUUUGAAAUAGCUCAGAUACAUCCUUAAGCGUAAGCAUUUUCUCGACCAGGCGCUAUUAUUGCAUUUGUUUUCAUGAAGGAGAAUCGUCUUCCUCUGUUGUUCAGAGGAAGAUUAGCAAAUGUUUUAGGAGAUAUAUUUAGGAUGUAUGUCAGAAUAUAGGGAACACUUUAAUUGCAUACUUUCAAAUGAUAUACUUCGACGAAGAGUUUUAUUGCGCGAAUAUAUUGUGCCGACGUAUGUACACGCGUGUCUGUGUCAUCAGUGCACACCGAGUUGCGAACAGUGUUGUACCUCCUGGCUGCAUAUGAGCAUUCGAAUAGAAGCUCGCAGGAGCUCAAGCAGUAAAAAAUUUUGAUUCAAUUUACAACGUCAAAAGAGACAGUUUAAAAGACUUGAGAAGAUUUUUUAUACGAGGAAAGUGAUUUGAAGGUACUGAGAACAUCGUAAAGAAAGUUAAUAUCACGAGGUCUCACAAUAAUCUCCCUUUAUGCAUCCAAGAGUUGAAUCACGUUCUUUGCUGUCGCAACGAAUCAAAUAGAUACGCAGCGCGUGCAGCACGUAUAUUUUUCUACCUCUUACUUUUCUGAUAGCGCCACUGAGAAAGUUAGGACGAGUCCGCAGGCUCCGAUGCGCGGUGCAGAAUAACAUAGAACCGUAUUAUAGUUGAUAAUUAUUAGCGUAACUUAUACAUAUAUACAUAUGUAGAGCGAUUAUUAUUCUCUAGAUACACACUCUCGAGAAACGAUUAAUGGUUCUCGAUAGAUCGGAAAAUCUCUCGCAUCCUGGCUGUCACUUUACAUCUACAUCACGGUUUUUAUGAUAGACAAAUCAAUUUUAUAUUACCAUCGUAAUGCGCGGAUCUCGAAAGAAAAAAUGUUGCGGAUACAGAUAUCUCUCAGGAUAAUACAAAAUUUGCAAAAAAAAGUA